UCAAACUUGGUCAUUUAGAGGAAGUAAAAGUCGUAACAAGGUUUCCGUAGGUGAACCUGCGGAAGGAUCAUUAUUGAAUAAACCUGCGUGGGUUGUUGCUGGCCUCCUCGGAGGUACGUGCACGCCUGCCAUCGUUUCAUUCAUACCUUCCACCUGUGCACUCUUGUAGGCUGCGCUGUCAUUUUCGGGCUUUCAAUAUCCCGGAGUGAGGAAUGCUCACAAGGCUUUCCUUGGAUGGCUGCAUCCUAUGCCUUUAUAAACCUGUUGUAUGUUGACGAAUGUAUGACCUGGGCUUUCAUUGCCUAUAAAACCUUAUACAACUUUCAACAACGGAUCUCUUGGCUCUCGCAUCGAUGAAGAACGCAGC
rnacentral:misc_RNA from 1 species